rnacentral:tRNA from 1 species
GGGAUUCUAGUUCAAUUCGUUAGAGCACCGCCUUGUCAAGGCGGAAGCUGCGGGUUUGAGACUCGUCAGUCCCG